rnacentral:rRNA from 1 species
UCAUCUCCGGGGGUAGAGCACUGUUUCGGCUAGGGGGCCAUCCCGGCUUACCAACCCGAUGCAAACUGCGAAUACCGGAGAAUGUUAUCACGGGAGACACACGGCGGGUGCUAACGUCCGUCGUGAAGAGGGAAACAACCCAGACCGCCAGCUAAGGUCCCAAAGUCAUGGUUAAGUGGGAAACGAUGUGGGAAGGCCCAGACAGCCAGGAUGUUGGCUUAGAAGCAGCCAUCAUUUAAAGAAAGCGUAAUAGCUCACUGGUCGAGUCGGCCUGCGCGGAAGAUGUAACGGGGCUAAACCAUGCACCGAAGCUGCGGCAGCGACGCUGAUGCGUUGUUGGGUAGGGGAGCGUUCUGUAAGCCUGUGAAGGUGGCCUGUGAGGGUUGCUGGAGGUAUCAGAAGUGCGAAUGCUGACAUAAGUAACGAUAAAGCGGGUGAAAAGCCCGCUCGCCGGAAGACCAAGGGUUCCUGUCCAACGUUAAUCGGGGCAGGGUGAGUCGACCCCUAAGGCGAGGCCGAAAGGCGUAGUCGAUGGGAAACGGGUUAAUAUUCCCGUACUUGGUGUUACUGCGAAGGGGGGACGGAGAAGGCUAUGUUGGCCGGGCGACGGUUGUCCCGGUUUAAGCGU